rnacentral:lncRNA from 1 species
GGAGUUCACAAGUUCUCAUCGAGUUUACAAAUGGCUGUGGGACAAUUCUCGCCAAAAUAAAAGAAAAUUCUUCUUCUGGUUACUACUCAAAGACAUACUUGGUACAAGAGAGUUAUUAAGAAGAAAGCACAUGUUUUGAAACUAUAGGGUCGAAGAAUCUCUUUCACAUCUCUUCUUUGACUACCCCUUCGCUCAGGCUUGCCGGA